UGGCGGCGUGCCUAAUCAUGCAAGUCGAGCGGACAGAUGGGAGCUUGCUCCCUGAUGUUAGCGGCGGACGGGUGAGUAACACGUGGGUAACCUGCCUGUAAGACUGGGAUAACUCCGGGAAACCGGGGCUAAUACCGGAUGGUUGUUUGAACCGCAUGGUUCAAACAUAAAAGGUGGCUUCGGCUACCACUUACAGAUGGACCCGCGGCGCAUUAGCUAGUUGGUGAGGUAACGGCUCACCAAGGCAACGAUGCGUAGCCGACCUGAGAGGGUGAUCGGCCACACUGGGACUGAGACACGGCCCAGACUCCUACGGGAGGCAGCAGUAGGGAAUCUUCCGCAAUGGACGAAAGUCUGACGGAGCAACGCCGCGUGAGUGAUGAAGGUUUUCGGAUCGUAAAGCUCUGUUGUUAGGGAAGAACAAGUACCGUUCGAAUAGGGCGGUACCUUGACGGUACCUAACCAGAAAGCCACGGCUAACUACGUGCCAGCAGCCGCGGUAAUACGUAGGUGGCAAGCGUUGUCCGGAAUUAUUGGGCGUAAAGGGCUCGCAGGCGGUUUCUUAAGUCUGAUGUGAAAGCCCCCGGCUCAACCGGGGAGGGUCAUUGGAAACUGGGGAACUUGAGUGCAGAAGAGGAGAGUGGAAUUCCACGUGUAGCGGUGAAAUGCGUAGAGAUGUGGAG
rnacentral:rRNA from 1 species